CUCGGCUAGUCUCGUUGAUCACCGGCUGCAGCCGUGCUUCAUGUCGAACGCACCUAAUGUUAACUCCAUGUCAUGGACUAAAUAAAAUGACAGAGAACAGGAAAAUGGACAUAAGAUCAUUUUUCAACAUGCCAAUAAUCAGAGGCAAAGGAGACCGAAAUGAUUGAGGGACAGGUGCAGCAGGGCCGAUCAGAUGCACAGCAUCAGGUAGGU